ensembl:lncRNA
AUGGUUUAUAUGGUAAAAGAGGAGGAAAGAAUGAGAAGCAGAAGAAAUAACAGGCUACUGAAAAUAGUAGAGAAAUAUGAGCUCUUCCUGCUGUUGGCAUCUUCCUUGACAUUGAUGUGGGCCAUAGGAUACGUAAUGAACUUAAGUUCUGAUUCUUGGCUUCUGAAAGGAGGUCUGCUUCUCUUCCUGCUAUUUGGAAUGGCUCUGUUUGUGAGGUUUGUGGCAUUUUCUCUCUGUACGUGUAUUUAUUUGUUAUAGAUGCCAUAUAAGGUAUCUAAUGCAGUGUUCUUUUCAGAGUUAAGUUUCAGUUGGCAAAAAAAACUCUUGAGAAAUUGUUGCAGAGUGUGUGAAGGAUUUCAAUGUACGUACUUUUCAGAAUGACCAUAGAAAUGGAAUGUCUUCAGGUGUGCAAAAUAACAGUUUCUCAUCACUGAAAGAUUUGAAAAAACACUAAAGUGUUUAAGCAGUCUGUUAGCUAAUUUUAAUGAUAGAGAGUGUUAUUGAAGGUCUGCACCUGGUAGACACUGAGAAUACCUAUGCACAAUGCUCAGAAAUGUGCGUUAUCUCAACUUUUCCUUCUGUAUCUGUGACACAGAAUGAAUUUUAAUGAACCAUUCCUUUCCCUGCUCCCCAGACCUCCCAGUGUUAUCCUAAGCUGUUUUGCAGGUUUUAUGCUUUUUUCAACAGUUAACUGCAACAGUCAGUGUUCCUUGAAACAGCAAUCCUAUCAGUGUGCAAACAGACAGAGACCACACUUUUCACCCAGUGCUACAGCUUUUCUGAUGUAUAAUAUUGGGCUGGAACAGAGCACUCUUCAGUUUUAUUUUUGUAUUGGUUAACCCCCUAUGCAUCUGGCUAAAGAAUGUUUUUGAGUGACAAUUCUUGAUUGCCUUAAGAGAGACUUGAAGUAUACUCUGUGUGUGAAGUUUUUGAAAUAACAGAUAGUUUAUACUGUGGAGUUACAUUUAAAAUAAAUUUUUUAAAAAUGCUUUUGAAUAUUCUUUCAGGCAAUGUGUGGGGCUCAAGAAUCUGAGGUAUCUUCCCACAGCAUUUCUGCUAAGUUCAGUUUUUUGGAUGGCCGUGACGUGGUUUUUCUGGUUCCUGCCUGAUAUCCUUUGUACUCAAGAAAUGCAGUAGUACUCUCCUUACAGUUCCGAAUAAAUCUAAGCCUGGUCAUGAAAAUAGCAACAAGCAGUCCCAGAUAAUUCCAGGUGACUGUUAAUGUCUGGUAGAUUGGUAUAUGUUCAUUGGGCAGGGGUGAAAUAACUUUAAUUUAAAGCUAUAUACGGACUAAACAUCUGUACCUUCUUUUACCUUUAGCAGAUAUUUGUCUACAAUUCUGCGCUACUUCUUAUGCUACUGGAAUAUCAAAAUGAAAAUGUCUUUGUUAUAAACCUAAUUGUCCCUGUUACCAUCUCCGUGUGACUCUUUAAUCUUCCUUAUUGAGACUCUCAUACAGUAAUGUAUUUUGGCAUGUAGUAUAACUGGAUAACAAAUGCAUUAAUAAUUUUCAAAGCAUGUCUUCUUUCUGAAAUGACAAGGAUUUGACAGUUAGUGGUAUUCAUGCUUCUGCUUUUAAAAACAACAACAAAACCCUCCCACCCCCACAAAAAAACAGGGAACAUAUUUCAUGUCCCUCCAAACCAGAACUUCCAGUCUCCUAUCUAUCUUUUUUCACAGGUUAUGCUGCAUCCUCAGUGUACAGGGCAUUAACGUCUACCUUUCUUUUAUUUUCUUUGAAGAGGCUUUGCACUGAUGAGUACAAAAUGUUUUAGUAGUUUACGCUUGCUUUUCAGUGCCCUACUCUUUAGUUACACGGGGGCAUCUAUUUAUUUAUUGAUUAAGUUUUGUGAAAAGGCCUUUAGGGAGAUACUUAGAACUGUAAAUAAUUUUCUACUAAACCAGCAAUAAUAUAUUGCUACACAAUUUUAAUUAAUUUUUAAUUACUUUAUCCUUUAAGUGGCAUUUUCUUUUGUACUGUUCCCAAUUAAGAUGUCCUUAAUAGAAUUAUCAGGAUUAACUUCGAUGAACUGAUCAAGUAUAUUCCCGCUGGGGAUUUAUGCCUAUGCUUGUCUAAAUGAAAAUCAUGUUAUUCAGUGUUGCAUUGUGAAGUUUUAUGGUUUUCCUGGUGUCAUCUAAAUUAAAAUAAAAAAAUUUCCAAAAAUAGGGGUUUGAGGCAGAUGCUUUGCUGAAGAUAGUGAGCAUAGCAGUACUCUUGAAGGUCUAACCGUAGCUUGGUGAGAUGGGUGAGUAGUUUUGUUUCACUACGUAACCCUUUUUCUCAUUAAUACCUUUUCCUUCUGGAACUGGUCGCAGAACUGAGUGUUGUACAAGUGUUCAGUAUUUUAGCUUCCUCUAUUACGUCUGAAUGAAAAUCCAGACACUCUAAUUAAGGACUACUCUCAGUUCCAAAAAACAAUUGAAAUGCAAAUAG